AAGUUACUGCUUGGAAGAAAGAGCUAUCAAAGACUAAGAAGGCAUUCAACGAGGCUUCAGCGAAAGUCAAUCGAUUGAAGAGGACCAUUCAUCAAAAUGUUGUGGCAUACUCCACAGAGAAAGCUCAGUUGGCUGAGGAGUCCGCAAAGCUAUCGAAAUUCGUCGAGGAUUCCACUUGGAGUGUCACUACCAAACAGCAUCACCUUCGCAGCC
rnacentral:lncRNA from 1 species